rnacentral:lncRNA from 1 species
AUGGGGUCGCGCGCGAGCUCGGAGGCCUCCCGGGGUUUCGCAGCGGCCGCCGGGUCACACCCAGGCGCAGAGUUGCUCGUCCUCGUCGGGGCGCCCCGGGGGGCGGCGGGGUCCGGGGGUCCCAGCUGCAGCUCCCCCACACAAAGACCUCAUUUCAAAGGGCUUGACUCCGGUAGCUGCCCCAUCAGUAGCUGCCACCUGGAGGCCAGCCCCCCACCCCCUGUCCCAGCCCCAGCCCCGCUGCUCCCUCAUCUGAACACCUUGUCGGUGUCCUCCGCCUGCGUCUCAGAGUGGAUGAGAGGGGACCUGGGAUGCGCGUGAGCCGCAGGGUGUGGGGCCCGUACACGGCAGGCACUCAGCAGGCUGCCAGGGACCACAGGCACCCUCGCGUCUGAACCCAGCCAUCCCGAGCAGAGGAAAGGCAGAUUUUCCAGGACAAGAACCUGUGUUCCAUCAUUUUUUUUUUUUUUUUGGAGACAGUCUCACUCUGUCACCAGGGCUGGAGUGCAGUGGCACGAUCUCGGCUCACUGCAACCUCUGCAUACCUGGUUCAAGUGAUUGUCCUGCCUCAACUUCCCUAGUAGCUAGGACUACAGGCGCUCACCACCGCGACCAGCAAAUUUUUGUAUUUUUUUUUAAGUAGAGACGGGGUUUCACUGUGUUAGCCAGGAUGGUCUCGAUCUCUUGACCUUGUGAUCCGCCCACCUUGGCCUCCCAAAGUGCUGGGAUUGCAGGCGUGAGCCACGGCGCCCAGCCCAUCAUUUCUAGUCAGGGGCAAAACUUUUCCCAUCCAAAACCCCAAGCAUUUUCUCUGAACGUUACUCCCGACUCUGACUUUUUUUUGAGACAGGGUCUCACUCUGUCACGCAGGCCGCAGUACAGUGGUUCAAUCACGGCUACGGCAGCCUUGACCUCCUGGACUCGAUCAGUCCUCCCACUUCAGCCUCCUAAAUAGCUGGGACUACAGGCACCUAACCACCGCGCCCGGCUAGUUUUGGUAUUUUUUGUAGAGAUGGGAUCUUGUCACGUUGCCCACACUGGUCUGGAACUCCUGGUGUCAAGUGAUCUGCCUGCCUGGGCCUCCCACAGUGCUGGGAUGACAGGCAUCAGCCCCCGCGCCCAGCACAGUCCCUGACGUCUGUCCGUCUCCCAGGGCUUUAUUGCACGUCAGCAGUUCCA